CACGGUUUCAUCUGAAUGCUGAAGCCAAAGAGCUUACAAAGCCUGUAUGGGAUCUCACUGUUGAACGGUAUCAAUCAGGAGACACAAGGUACAGAAGAUUUUACAAAACAUUACAUGUAGCAUGGAACAUCGUGAAGGCCAUCAUCAACAAGUGGAGAAAACGAAGCACUACAGUGACAGAACAGGACGUCCCUCCAAAAUUUACAAAAGGACAAGAAAAAAACUUACCAGGGAGGUUGCUGAGGGACCUACAGCAACAUUAAAGGAGCUGCAGGAACAUGUGCUGGAGCCGGGGCUCUGGUCAGGAUAGACGGAAUCAUGGAUAGCUCCAAUACCGAUCUAUUUUGGCAGCAAACCUGCAGGCCUCUGUUAAACAGCUGAAGAUGAGGAAACAUUUCAUCUUCCAGCAUGAUAACGACCCAAAGCACAAAUCCAAAGUCAACAAAGGAACGGCUUCAGAAGAAGAAGUUUGACAUUUUGGAAUGAACAAGUUAGAACCCAGAUCAAAGUCAGUACAAACACUGUCAAAAACACUGAGCGCUGUAUCGCAAGCAAAAUGUGCUUCAACACAGUAUUAGUAAAGGGGAUUGGCCCGAGGACAAACUGAAUCGUUGUCUGUGUGUUUAUAAAUAAUGUUGACUUUAGUUCAC
ensembl:lncRNA